ACCCCACCUUUACCGAUUUGAGCCGUUCACACACGAUCGAUCCAACGUCUUUCAGCAGACCAACCCAAACCCUAGCAGCCCGCUCCACACCUUCCAGAGAGCCCCCCUCUCCCUCUCCUCGAUCAACGACGACACCGCCUCCCUCUCCCUCCCACCCCCCUAUCCACUGAUCCAGAUCGACGCCACGGCUCUCCAGCAACCAGGACGGCGAUGGGAUCCGAUGGGCGUGUUCUCCUCUGGCCACGGCGGAGAAGAAGCCAGGCGGUGAGGGCGAAGCAUCCACCCGCUCCCGCACUUCCCCGUCCCGAUCGAUCAGGCCGCCGUCGCGCCCUCCUCCUCCCCUCCCAUCCGAUGCAGGACCAGGCCGGGGCUUUGUCCUGUUUUGGGCGGUUUCCCUCGGCCGGAUCCUCUCCUCCCCGGCGCCCUACUGCCUCACCCCGAGCCCCCGCUUCCCGCCCCCUCUCCGCGGCGACAGGAGGCGCCGGAACGUGCUCCUGGUCCUCGCCCACCCCGACGAUAAUAUUUUCUUACGGUUUGCUCGCCUCCCUCCCACCACCCCUCCCUCGAACUCCUCGCCCCGCCGGCUCCCCAACCCCGCCCACCCUGCCUCGACCUGAUCCCCUCGCCUUGCGGGCGCGGAGGAGACCAGUCACCGGCUUCCUCGCCGCCGGAUUCGGCCGCUGAUCGAGGCCGCGAGGGCUGCUUGCCUUGCUUCCGGUGCUUCGACUGGAUGGCGGGCCGGUCGCGGGGUCCCUGGUCGGCGUAGCGGACACCAUGUUUGCACCGAGGAAGGUGGAGGACGAGAUGGCGCUGGGAAGGCAGAGGACCGUCAGAAUCAGUUGGAAGAGGAGAAGCUGGCGGUGCAGCAGCAGGAAACUGAUAAUUUUGUGUACCCCAACCAGGACCGUGCUGGUGACCGGAGGGGCCGGCUACAUCGGCAGCCACGCCGUGCUGCAACUGCUCGCCGCGGGCUUCCGCGCCGUUGUCGUCGACAGCCUCGAGAACUCCUCCGAGCUCGCCGCUCGCCGGGGAACACGCGCGGAACCUCUCCUUCCACAAGGACAUGGAUGAUUGCUGGUCUUUCACUGUAUGGAUGUGAAGUACUAGUUGAGCGAACUUGACAUACACGCAUACAUAUAUCCUUGUUAUCGGAUGUCGUUGUGCUGGUGUAGGGACACACUGGUUAAUCAGCAACAUCUACUACAGAAGUUUCUGCUUGCUUCCAGUUGAUCCUCCAGCAAACACGACGACUUUUGAGAAUUGGUCUAAUGCACUUUGUUAGAACCACACUACUUCUAAUGGACUGGGACGCCAUGGAGGACCAGCUCAGUUACGUCCUCUACAGGAACAUUGGAUGCUGGCCUUCAUUCUUCAAAAUUUGGGUGUACAGAAGCUUUAGGAAGAAGAAUCCCGAAGAAAACCCAUUCCCACCAAUCCGUUUUAGCUCACCGGAGCUAGUUAUAUGUAUACUUAGUUGUAUUUUAUAGCUGAGUACCAGAUUUGUACUAUGUGUGAUUGUAGUGUACUUUGCAUGUUGUAUGAAAUAUUAUGCCCAAUUGGCUCUUUUAGAAUCAAAUUAUCUAAUUGCAUAAA